ensembl:ncRNA R11E3.15 ncRNA
AUUCGAUGUAGGGAUUCGGCCCUGCUUUGAGAGUUUCGCGCAAAGGUCUGAAAAUUAUGAAAGGUAAUCUGCAAAAGUUAUAGAUUACUAUCUAAAUUUGCGUUUCAAGUUUGAUGCAACGCCUAAGCCUAAACCAAAGCCAACGCCUAA